GAGGCGGAGUCUCGCUCUUUCCCCCAGGCUGGAGUGCAGUGGCGCGAUCUCGGCUCACUGCAAGCUCCGCCUCCCGGGUUCACGCCAUUCUCCUGCCUCAGCCUCCCGAGUAGCUGGGACUACAGGCGCCUGCUGCCGCGCCCGGCUAAUUUUUUUGUAUUUUUAGUGGAGACGGGGUUUCACCGUGUUAGCCAGGAUGGUCUCGAUCUCCUGACCUCGUGAUCCGCCCGUCUCGGCCUCCCAAAGUGCUGGGAUUAUAGGCGUGAGCCACAGCGCCCGGCCAGCCGAUGUGUUGGCUUUAUAAGGGGGAGUUUCUUUGCACAAGCUGUCUCUCUUUGCCUGCCGCCAUCCACGUAGUAAAUGUGACUCAAUCCUGCUUGCCUUCCGCCAUGAUUGUAAGGCCUCCCCAGCCACAUGGAACUAUAUUACCCACCUUGCCUUUCCUUUUGCAUUUGAAGUGUUUGGAAAUACAGUCCUAGACCACAUAAUGGCGGUCUGCAUAUACAACGGUGGUCCCGUAAGAUUAUAAUGGAGCUAUUAUUGUCCCUGAAGACCUUCCAGUGACACAAAACGUGGAGGUGGAAGACACUGAUAUUGAUGAUCUUGACCCCGGGUGAAGAUGCAAUGAGAAGGCACAGUCUUUGAAGCAAGACAGAGCCCUCACGAGAUGCUGAAUCCGCUAGUGCUUUAGCAUGGGACUUUCCAACCUUCAAAAUUAAUUGGACAACUGAAACUUGAAGAGUAUCUACCAUGUUGUAAAGAUCAUGCAAGCAUAUAAUAAGAGCAAGCCUGAAUCCAGAUCAGAGUUCCACAAUUAAAAGAGAUGAAUUGCCAUUGCUCUUUGCCAAGCUUCCUGCUUUUUGGAAAUCCGACAUCAGGCAAGCUCUCUAAAUGUGUUUAGCUAUACCACGUACCAGAAGGAAAAAUAAGG